rnacentral:rRNA from 1 species
AUUGAACGCUGGCGGCAGGCCUAACACAUGCAAGUCGAGCGGGGUUUUCGGACCUAGCGGCGGACGGGUGAGUAAUGCGUAGGAAGCUACCCGAUAGAGGGGGAUACCAGUUGGAAACGACUGUUAAUACCGCAUAAUGUCUACGGACCAAAGUGUGGGACCUUCGGGCCACAUGCUAUCGGAUGCGCCUACGUGGGAUUAGCUAGUUGGUGAGGUAAUGGCUCAACAAGGCGACGGUCCAUAGCUGGUUUGAGAGGAUGAUCAGCCACACUGUAGCAGAGCCACGGUACAGACUCCAACGGGAGGCAGCAGUGGGGAAUAUUGGACAAUGGGCGGAAGCCUGAUCCAGCCAUGCCGCGUGUGUGAAGAAGGCCUUUUGGUUGUAAAGCACUUUCAGCGGGGAGGAAAGGUUGAUGCCUAAUACGUAUCAACUGUGACGUUACUCGCAGAAGAAGCACCGGCAAACUCCGUGCCAGCCGCCGCAGUAAAAC